rnacentral:rRNA from 1 species
UACGUAGGGACCAAGCGUUGUUCGGAUUUACUGGGCGUAAAGGGCGCGUAGGCGGCAUGACAAGUCACUUGUGAAAUCUCUGGGCUUAACCCAGAACGGCCAAGUGAUACUGUCGCGCUAGAGUGCGGAAGGGGCGAUCGGAAUUCUCGGUGUAGCGGUGAAAUGCGUAGAUAUCGAGAGGAACACCUGAGGUGAAGACGGGUUGCUGGGCCGACACUGACGCUGAGUGCGCGAAAGCCAGGGGAGCAAACGGG